CUGUCUUCACUAUAGAACAUUAUGUAGGAACAUGUCUUCUCUAUAGAACAUUAUGUAGGAACAUGUCUUCACUAUAGAACAAUAUGUAGGAACAUGUCUUCACUAUACAACAUUAUGUAUGAACAUGUCUUCACUAUAGAACAUUAUGUAUGAACAUGUCUUCACUAUAGAACAUUAUGUAGGAACAUGUCUUCACUAUAGAACAUUAUGUAGGAACAUGUCUUCACUAUAUAUAGAACAUCUGUCUUCAUUAAUGUUAUUAUACAAGUCCAUAAUUUUAUUUUAAUAGCUAUUUAACUUUUAUCUUGAGUGUGCCAGUUGUCUGACUGUACAUAAUCCACCAAUCUCAUAGAAAACCUUUUAGUAUUUCUGUCUUUCGUCUCUUUAGAUAUCAUUGAAAACUUUUGUUGGAUCUUUCUUGAUAUAAAAAAGUCAGUUUCUACACAGAGCUAUAUCUAUUGUCCUCAAUUGCCAUGACAAUCAUUGAAGACUGAAUAAAGACAUCUCAAAAAACACAGUUCUAAAGUUUCACAAUUUUCCAAGACUUCACAAUAUACAUUUUUACAAAUUAUACAGUGCACUAUUCAUAAUAAUAAACAAAAUUUUAAAUAUGCCUACUUUUUACAACAUCCUGAAUGUUUAUUAUCUAGAACUCUGUUUACAAACGAUUUUGUUUUCAUAUUAUUUUUUGGUAUUUUCUUUUUUUAUAUUUUUUACAGAGCUCUAAAUAAUAAAAAUAUCAGAUUUUAAAGGUUAGAGGCAAAGUCUUUCUAAAUCAGAAUAUUGCAAAAUUUUAAUGUUGGUUGAUUUUCUCAUUGUUGAAGUCCAUACAGUAACCUAUUUUACAUCAACAUCAUUUAGUCUCUGUAGGACAGUUGUCUCACAUCUCUUCAUUUCAUAACCAAUCAAUUUGUAGGUUCUAUAAAGUGGGCCGAUGAUGAAGGUAAGGGAAAUUUUGACUGCCAACUGAGAGGAGCAUAUGUUGGACAGAAAUUAAGCCUUGCAACAUGCCACCUACUGACCCCUUAAAGACUUGUGGCAAGGGUUCUUUAACGUGCAGAGUGGCACUGUCCCUACACAUAGGAACUAUAUACUUUUUAAAUUGCCAUUCCAAUUUUUGUUUGUUUUAAAAAUGAUAACUUUAGAAGACUUUAAGGCGGGGGUCAUAAAAAAUAUUACAAUAAUCCCACCUUUUACACCACCCUCAAUGUUUAUUAUCUAGAACUCUGUUUACAAACGAUUUUGUUUUCAUAUAUUAUUUUUUGGUAUUUUCUUUUUUUAUAUAUUUUUUUGAUAUUUUUUUUUACAGAGCUCUAGAUAAUAAAAAUAUCAGAUGUUAAAGGUUAGAGGUAUUAACAAAGUCAUUCUAAUUCAGAAUAUUGAAAAAUUUUAAUGUUAGUUGAUUUUCUCAUUGUUGAAGUCCAUACAGUAACAUGCAACUUCAUUUGGUCUCUGUAGGAUAGUUCUCUUUCAUCUCUUCAUUCCAUAACAAAUCAAUUUGUAGGUUCUAUAAAGUGGGCCGAUGAUGAAGGUAAGGGAAAUUUUGACUGCCAACUGAGAGGAGGAUAUGUUGGGCAGAAAUUAAGCCUUGCAACUGGCCACCUACUGACCCCUCAAAGACUUGUGGCAAGGGUUCUUUAACGUACAUAGUGGCACUGUCCCUACACAUAGGAACUAUACUUUUUAAAUUGCCAUUCCAAUUUUUGUUUGUUUUAAACAUGAUAACAUAAGAAGACUUUAAGGUGGGGGUCAUAAAAAAUAUUACAAUAAUCCCACCUUUUACACCACCCUCAAUGUUUAUUAUCUAGAACUCUGUUUACAAACAAUUUUGUUUUCAUAUAUUAUUUUUUGGUAUUUUCUUUUUUGAUAUUUUUUUUGAUAUUUUUUUUACAGAGCUCUAGAUAAUAAAAAUAUCAGAUGUUAAAGGUUAGAGGUAUUAACAAAGUCAUUCUAAUUCAGAAUAUUGCAAAAUUUUAAUGUUAGUUGAUUUUCUCAUUGUUGAAGUCCAUACAGUAACAUGCAACUUCAUUUGGUCUCUGUAGGAUAGUUCUCUUUCAUCUCUUCAUUCCAUAACAAAUCAAUUUGUAGGUUCUAUAAAGUGGGCCGAUGAUGAAGGUAAGGGAAAUUUUGACUGCCAACUGAGAGGAGGAUAUGUUGGGCAGAAAUUAAGCCUUGUAACAGGCCACCUACUGACCCCUCAAAGACUUGUGGCAACGGUUCUUUAACGUACAUAGUGGCACUGUCCCUACACAUAGGAACUAUACUUUUUAAAUUGCCAUUCCAAUUUUUGUUUGUUUUAAACAUGAUAACAUAAGAAGACUUUAAGGUGGGGGUCAUAAAAAAUAUUACAAUAAUCCCACCUUUUACACCACCCUCAAUGUUUAUUAUCUAGAACUCUGUUUACAAAUGAUUUUGUUUUCAUAUAUUAUUUUUUGGUAUUUUCUUUUUUUAUAUUUUUUUUGAUAUUUUUUUUACAGAGCUCUAGAUAAUAAAAAUAUCAGAUGUUAAAGGUUAGAGGUAUAAACAAAGUCAUUCUAAUUCAGAAUAUUGCAAAAUUUUAAUGUUGGUUGAUUUUCU